rfam:Jatropha curcas cultivar GZQX0401 scaffold708_65, whole genome shotgun sequence.
GUCAGGAUGGCCGAGUGGUCUAAGGCGCCAGACUCAAGGUCUGGUCUUCGAAAGAGGGCGUGGGUUCAAAUCCCACUUCUGACA